GGGGAUAUAGCUCAAUGGCAGAGUGCUUGCCUAGCAUGCAUGAGGCACUGGGUUCGAUCCUCAGCACCA
rnacentral:tRNA from 1 species